GGAUCGAUGAUGACUUCCAUAUAUACAUUCCUUGGAAAGCUGAACAAAAUGAGUGAAAACUCUAUACCGUCAUUCUCGUCGAACUGAGGUCC
ensembl:snoRNA SNORD116-14 small nucleolar RNA, C/D box 116-14